UUGAGGUGCACCCAAGUCUCAGUUGUCAUGCAAACGUCAUCAUGAGUGGCUCAGAGUCAGAAUCCAAAGGGGACGGACUUCUGAUUAUAACUGGAAUCUUGGUAGUUUCCUUUAUUCUGCUGUGGGUCAGGAUUUUGUGUUGUACCAGGGCAAGGAUCCACAUAUCUAUGCGAGAGGCGCAAACGCAGAUGCACUGUCAGGAAGGACUGCGCAUGUGCGUGAUAGUCGAACAACGACACGUUAUACGCCCUCGAGCUUACAACUAGACGCAGACUGUACUUUUGGACUUUUAGAAGAAAACUGGUGAAAAUCGUAGAAAAUACUCCCUACAUGCCAAAAGUCAUUAAACUCUUUAUUAAGUUUCCUGCAUCAUGUCUUUAACUCCUGA